CCAGAGGAAUUCAGAUGUUAGGAGUUAUUUCUAUAGCUGUAUAUUUUCUUCUGGGAACAGCGCAAGGUGAAGAAACAUUGUUACGCAAGAUGUUAAGUUUGGUAUUUCUGAGAGGCUCCUAAAAGGAGCCUUGUAUUUGUAUUAAGAGUGAGGCCUGAUGGUUUGUAGAGUAUAACUGACAGUUGUAUGGACUGCCAUUUUAACCUGGUUUACUGUUUCCUUUGGCGUUGUUGAGUAUGUCAAGCAGGAAUAGAAGAAUGGUUAAACUCUGCAGUAACAUGAACUCGGCCUAGACUCUUUCUAAUGGUAGGUUGUUCAUUAGAUUCAAGUAUUUUCUUAGGUCAAGAAGAGAGAGAACAUGUUAUUUCUGUUUUAGGUUGUCUUUUUUUUUGCUAUUAUUUAUAUCUCCAUAACCUUGCUUAUUUGUAUCUGCUUGAUGCAUCAAAUUCUCAUGCAAAAUUCCCCACUGUGGCUAUGAUUUUUAUAAUGAUUACACCUGUCUUUGUCAGAGCUUUGCUUUAUAUAUUUUGCUGCUGUAGUUUUUGGUGUACAGGAAUUCACUAAUUAUACUUGAAGAUGUCGCAAUUUGCCUCUUUUCCCUGCUUAACAGUCUUGAUCUUGAAUUCUGCUUAUCUGAUUGUGAUUCUGCCAUUUCUGCUUUCUGUUUGCUUACAUUUGCCUGGUGUAAUUUUCCACAUCCUUUAUUUUCAAACUUUCUUUAUCAUUCUGUUUUAGGCGUGUUUCUUGCCUAUGACAUUGGGCAAGGUAUAUCUGUUAGGAUAAUUUGGGUUGCAAAUAAUGUGCACUGGUUUCCAAAAAUAGAGGAGGAUGUAUUUGCUCUUAUAAUGUUGCAGGAUAGGUUUUGUUUUCAAGCAUGGUUUGUUUCAGUUUUGAUGCUUGAUUUCUCUCAGUUCACUCAGUUCUGUGUUCCUUUGUGUGUUAGACUAUUUUCUCUCCUGGGAGCAAAAUGGCCACAGAGGCCCCAGGCCUCCCAUGUGUUUAUACCUCAAAGUCCAGAAAAUGAGAAAACUUCUCUUCUGAAAAUCUUGAAAACUCUUUAAUCACAUGUCAAACCCUAAAAAAAAAAAAAAAUUCACUGUGACCGGUGAUGUGCCAUGCCGCAUUGCGUUUGGGCCUGUAUUACUCAUCUUCGAACCAACCACUUUGGUGGGGAGAUUAAUAUUAUGAUAAAAGGUUCCUUUGGGUGAAUUAAAGCUCAAAGCCUAAAAUUGAAAUUUAAGAUUAAUUCCCAUCCGAGCCAGUGUGCCAGUGUUCAAGAGAACAGAGUAGAUAAGUAUUGUAAAGAAGUUACCACAGUUCUCAUUACUGGAUAACAACGUAAUUCUUUAUCUUCAAAAGGUAAAUGAAUAAACUAACAGAAUGUACCAGAAAAAAAUAAGAAAUAAUAAGUAAGAUUGCUAUUGCAAUAUUAAUGUUGAGAAGUAAAAAAUCAGGAGUUUCCCUAUCACAAAUCAUAACCAAUUAGAAAAUAUAACUGGGAGUUCCAUUGUGGCUCAGUGGAUUAUGAACCCAACUAGUAUCCAUGAAGAUAUGGGUUCAAUCCCUGGCCUCAGUUAAUUGGUUAUAGGAUCUGGCAUUGCUGUGCCUGUAGCUGUGGCUGGCAGCUGCACCUCCAAUUUGACUCCUAGCCUGGGAACGUCCAUAUGCCAUGGGUGUGGCCCUAAAAAGCAAAAAAAAAAAAAAAAAAAAAGAAGAAGAAAAUAUUUCAUAUAUAAAAAGUAUAAAAUGUAUUGGAAUACAUUUAUUAAGAAACAAAGUAUUUAUAUGAAAACAUAUGAACUUUGAGAGAUUUAAGAUAUUUCUAGCUAGGAAAACUCAAUUUUAAUAAGUUGAUUUAAUAAAGAUGUCUGUCCUCUUUAAAAUACUCUCUUUUGGGGAAUUCCUGUUGAGGUGCAGUGGAAAAGAAUCUCACUAGGAACCAUGAGGCUGUGGGUUUAAUCCCUGCCCUCGCUCAGUGGGCUAAGGAUCUGGCAUUGCCUUGAGCUAUGGUGUAGGUCACAGACAUGGCUCGGACCCCGCAUUGCUGUGGCGUAGACCAGCAGCUAUAGCUCCAAUUCAACCCCUUGCUUGGGAACCUCCAUAUGCUGCGGGUGUGGCCCUAAAAAAGCCAAAAAAAAGUGCAUCUGGGGAUUUUCCAGUGUGGCUCAGCAGUGAGGAACCCAAAUAGUAUCUAUGAGGAUGAGGGUUCAAUCCCUGGCCUUGCUCAGUGGGUUAAGGAUCUGGCAAUGCUGUGAGCUGUGGUGAAGGUUGAAGACAUAGCUUGGAUCUUGUGUUGCUGUGACUGCGGUGUAGGCCAGCAGCAGCAGCUCCAAUUUGACUCCUAGCCUGGGAACCUCCAGUUGCCGCAUGUGUGGCCUGAAAAAGAAAAAAAAAACCAGUGCAUCUGAUAAUGCAUAACACAAUAUACUAGCCAGGGAAUUAAAAAUGACAGGAACAAACACUGUAAACCAAGUAUAAU
rnacentral:lncRNA from 1 species